rnacentral:lncRNA from 1 species
GGAAGGUCCCGAGGGAAGGGGCCUGAGGCCAAGCCGCAGGUCAGAUCACACAGGCCGGGACUGAAGGAAGGAAACGAGCUGUGGUCCAGCAGAUGAAGUGAUGGGCCAGGACGGCGGGAGAGACAGCACUGUCUUCAUGAAACUGAAAAACCAGGACCCUUGUAAAGAAAAGGAAAUCCAAAUGCCAUCAAUUGGGAGAGUAGAGACACAGGGCUGCCUCUGUCUCUCCACUGGGCAUCUCCCUUCCCCAGACUUCACUGGACAUCGGAGGGCUUUAUGCUUCUUGUCCUGGGCCUGUGGAUUUCGCCGUGAAGGCGGGUUAGGGAGAGCAUACCUGGCGUUCUCCAGGUAAGAACGGCCCCAUCGACUGCCUGUAAUGAUGUUACACCAGCAAUAACCAGAUUGCAGCGCUGCUCCCACCUAGGGCCUGGUGCAGUUGCAAAGUUUUAGAGAAGAAAAUAACAGACUCAUUUAUUUAGGUUCAUUAAACAUAUUCCCAGCUCUUCCAGAACAUCCUGAUGACAACAAUGAUGUAUCUGGGGGCACACGUACAAGGCACAAGCCUGGAGCUGUGGGUCUGUUGUUAAAUUUCUGUCCAAAUGAUGAUGAUGUGUGUAUGUGCAUGUGUGUAUAAUGUUCUACUUUACAAAGCAGUUUCACAAUGAGACCUUGAUUUCUUUUACACUCAGUUUCCUGCUCUGUAGGCCAGGGGCUCACGUGACAGGCUUGGCUAAGAGGAGGCUCAUUUAACAACUGCUCCGCCCAGAACAGAAUACUUUGCUGCAGGUCCAGGAGGAGCUCAACCCAAAACAAGGAGGUGAUGGUGCCCAUUCUCACGGGGCUGGUGAAUGUGGAGAAGGAGGCAGUCACCUUCACGGCAGUUCCCUGCACAAGCCUGUGGGGUCCUGUGAUGUGGCCAGUGGAUCUGGGAGGACUGAGCACAGUGGUCCAAGGGUCUUAGCAUUCCAACCCCUCAUUUACGAGGGGGAGAGGAGCCUGGGAAACUCCCCACCACUCCCCUCCCUCCCUCCACAACCGAACAGUAACAGACAUUCUCCUUUGGUUGUGAUGGGGUGAGACUGAGGGCUGUCAUCAGGAUGGGGGCUGCAGAAUAAAUGCAAAAUAGGAAAUGCAUCAGAAAUGCUGCAGGUGGCUCCAAGGAAGUUCCUGCGCUCGGGGCCUCCGGGAAGGGCAGGCACAGGUGUAGGAAGUGGGAGGGUGAGUGUGUAAGUCAGGUCCGGGUGCAGGCGCAGAC